UACGUAGGGUGCGAGCGUUGUCCGGAUUUAUUGGGCGUAAAGAGCUCGUAGGCGGCUUGUCGCGUCGACUGUGAAAACCCGCGGCUCAACUGCGGGCCUGCAGCCGAUACGGGCAGGCUAGAGUUCGGUAGGGGAGACUGGAAUUCCUGGUGUAGCGGUGAAAUGCGCAGAUAUCAGGAGGAACACCCGUGGCUAAGGCGGCUCUCUAGUACGGUACUGACGCUGAGACGCGAAAGCGUGGGGAGCGAACAGG
rnacentral:rRNA from 1 species